GCGAGGAUGGCGGAAUUGGCAGACGCGCUAGGUUGAGGGCCUAGUGGGGGAAACCCCAUGGGGGUUCAAGUCCCCCUCCUCGCA
rnacentral:tRNA from 1 species